rnacentral:rRNA from 1 species
AUUGAACGCUGGCGGCAUGCCUAACACAUGCAAGUCGAACGGCAGCAUGAUGUGUAGCAAUACACAUUGAUGGCGAGUGGCGGACGGGUGAGUAACGCGUAGGAAUCUGCCUUAAAGCGUGGAAUAACUCGGGGAAACUCGAGCUAAUACCGCAUAAUGCCUCAGGGCCAAAGCGGGGGAUCGUAAGACCUCGCACUUUAAGAUGAGCCUGCGUCGGAUUAGCUAGUUGGUAGGGUAAAGGCCUACCAAGGCUAUGAUCCGUAACUGGUCUGAGAGG